rnacentral:tRNA from 1 species
UGGGUGUAUAGCUUAGUUGGUAGAGCAUUGGGCUUUUAACCUAAUGGUCGCAGGUUCAAAUCCUGCUAUACCCAG